ensembl:lncRNA
AGCCAGGUAAAACAUUAGAGAUAGAUGAUAAAAGGACUCAUUGCAUAUAAAAUUCUUUUAAGCACCUUUAAGGAGAAAUCAUGUUUAAAAGGGAGAUGAACAAAGGAGAAUAUUUUUAUCUUUCCAUUUGGGUCAUGUAGAGCUGUAACCAAACCAUAAGCUGGAAAUAUGGGGCCCGGAUCAAUGUACGGAAAAGCAAUAAUAAUGAAAAUAAUUCUUUACGUUUCUGGGGUUUCAGGCGUAUGGAAAGAGUUCUAAAAUUUUCACAAGUGCUCUUACAUAGACCAUCUCAUUUCGCCACGAUGAUCCAGGGGAGCCGGCAGAGCAGGUGUGGGUGUAGAGCACCAGCCCCCGUAUCCCGUGCUAAGGAUCUGAUCCUAAGCUGAACAGGCAUUUGCCCAUCCUCACGGCGCUUACUAUGCAGGGAGCGGAGUAAGUGAGAUAUAGAUGAAGUUUUAAAAACAUAUCAAAACUACAUGUGGGGGACAAAACACAGCAGACAUCCGGUACAGAUGGCUGCAGGGGCAACAGCUGCCAGGAGCCAAAGAGGACCUCAGCCCGAGCUACGGUGCCUGGCUGUGGAAGUGGUUCUUGGAGUGGGCGGGGUAGACCUGCCGCUGAGGGGCGGGGUCGUGGAGCCGGGAGCGAGCACGGUGGGGCGGGGCCAGACUGGCGGUGGGCGUGACCGUUGGUGAGGUGAGCUGGGUCAGCCUGCGGUGGAGGGGCGGGGUCCCAGAGCCGUGGGGCGGGGCAGCCCGUGGCCUGGAGCAGCGGUUGGCGACCUUUGGAGUGGCGGUUGCGCCGUUGGGCGGUUGGAUGGGGGUGCGGUCGGACGUAUAAAAGCUACGCCCAGCGCUUUUGGAAGCAGUAAGUCCAGCCCUAGGCUAAGGUGUUAAUCACUGAAAGGAGGUAGAACGUUUUUCCCCACCAGAGGAGGCAGCGACCACGUCUCCUCUAUGGAGGCAUUCAAGAGCCGUCCAGCUGAAGCAGCAUCAUUGUCUGGGCUUGGAAGGCACAAUCCAUACAGGUCUGCAUGGUCCACCAGAGCUCCACACCCACGGGGCCAGCCGGGGCUCUCUUCUGAAGCAGGGUCUCGCUCUGUUGCCGAGGCUGGAUCACAGCUCACUGCAACCUUGAACUCUACCUCAAGCAGUCCUCCCCACUCUGCCUUCCAAAGCACUAGCAUUACAGGCCUAAGCCACCACCCCCAUCCACUGAAGUGUAAACUAUCUCCUUCACGUUUCCAGUAGCUGCAGAGCAGAUCAGGUAAGGGUUCUUCCUGUGCAUUGCUUCAAGUUUCAUUCUCUCUUUAAAUGAUUUAAGGUUGGCUUUCAUGGUUCCUUCUUAAAGAAUGUUGAAGGUGUGUCUUCAGAUCCAUUCACUGUUUGUGGAACCCCAGGGAAGGCUGAUGUAAAACACUCUUUUUUCUCCCAAAUGUCUCAAAAAGUUGUAUUUUCUGGGUCCAAGGCAUCUGCAAGCCUCCUAAAGGCAUUUCCACUGUCACUACCAUCAGGUGUGAACUGUAAUCUGGCAUGCAUAGUUCCAAGAACUGUCAUAAUAGACGCUGAAGAACCAUUGUGAAGGUAACUUGCUCUUACCAACUGUGAAGUCGUUAGCUAGAGGAAUCUCGAGCGGUCUGAAAUCUGAAAUACUGUGGAAAGAACAGAAAGAUCCUGUCUCUUUCCCACAGUUGUUCUACUGGAAGUUCUCAUUUUCCAUAGGAGACAUUCUGUUUUAUUUAUUUUCUUUUGAGACAGGGUCUCACUCUAUCGCCCAGGCUGGAGUGCAGUGUUGUCACCACAGGUCACUGGUGCCUCCACUGCCUGAGGACUGCUCAAGCAAUCCCCCCACCUCAGUCCCCUGGUAGCUGGGGCCACAGGCCUGCACCAUGCCUGGCUAAUUAUUCUUAUUUGUAGAGACAAGGUUUAUCUUGCCUAGGCUGGUCUCAAAUUCCUGGGCUCAAGUAAUCCUCCUGCCGUGGCUUCUCAAAGUGCUUGGGAUUACAGAUGUGAGCUACCAUGCCCGGGCUCACAGGGGACGUUCUUGAUGUCCCUUUUGACAGUCUACAAAUCUUUUUUUUUUUUUUUUUUUGAGACAGGGUCUUGCUCUGUCACCCGGGCUGGAGUGCAGUGGUGCCAUCAUAGCUCACUGCAGCCUAAGCUAUACUGAGUUCAAGGGAUCUUCCCAUCUCGGCCUCCUGAGUAGCUGGGACUACAGGCACUUGCUGCCAGGCCCAGAUAAUUUAUUAAAAUUUUUUUUUUGUAGAGACAGGGUCUCACUAUGUUGCCCAGGCUAGGCUCAAACUCCUGGCCUCAAACAAUCCUCUACCUCAACCUCCCUAAGUGCUGGCAUUACAGGUAUCAGCUGCCAUGCCUGGCUGCAAAUCUUAAUGUUUUCUCCAGGGCUUCUUUUUCUGGUGUUCUUUUCUCAGGUAAUGGAAGUGGGCAGAGAAUGAUCCUUUCCCUAGGCUCCAGUGUGUAAGAGUUAAAGAAAGAGGAAAGAAACAUGAUGGCUUGAUGGUCAAGGACAGGUUUAUUUUAAAGAAAACAAACCCGAGAGUGGCUUCUGACUAAGAUCAGAGGCAUGCUUUCUUACAGACAGAGUUUUUAAGGAUUCAGGGUGGGAGAGUUUAUCAGAGGCUUAGACGACUUCUGUGUCUCUGCUGUGCUUACCUGGGAGGGAGAGUUGUGUGUCUGUUCCCAUACAUCUUCCUGCAGCUGCAGGCAUACCCCCAAGUCUGCUUUUAGCUUCCCUAUCUUAGUGCACCUGAAGGGAAAGGAAUGUGCUUAUUAAGGCUCACUGUUUUACUGGGGCCCAAUGUAUGAGGGUGAAGUUCGGCAGUUACCCAAGAGACUUUCCCCCCACCUCCUUCUGUGCCCGAGCUGUCUUAUCUAUGUUUUACUGUCUGCUCUUUCUGUCUGCUUUUUGUUAGAAGAGAAGUGAUUUUCUUGAAAUGCAUGAGGCUAGAAAGGGAGCUGGAACUUAAAGUGGUGGUGUUUGUCCGAGAGGAUGGUGCUUCUGCUCUGUUAUAGUGGGCAUGCAGAUUCAGGUCACUGCUACCAAAUUUCAGAGCCCAAGCACAGAGCCCAGAACGAAAUUGUGAGGGUUUCAAAACAAAACAAAACAACAACAACAAAAAACAGCUCUAUUGAAGUAUAAUUGACGUACAAUAAACUUGAAUAUUUAAAGUGUACGAUUUAUGAGUUUGGGCAUUUGUAUACACCCUUGCAACCAUCACCACAUUGAAGAUAAUGAAUAUGCCCAUUACCCCGGAAAGUUUUCCCAUGCCCUUUGCAGCCCCUCCCUUUCACCCCUCAAACACUUAAUGCACUUUUUCCCAAAAGACAAGACGUAAGAUAGCUUCCCUACACAUUUAUCAAAGCUGUUAUAAUCCUGAUUCCCAAACAAGGUAAGGAAAUUAUAAGACAAUUAGAGAACACUUUUAACUAUUCAGAUGUUAAAAUCCUCAGUAAAAUACCUGUAACAGUUAAUUGAACUAACCAGUUAUGCAAAAACAUACAAUCAACUAUGAUUGCACCCCUUUUUAUUCCCCUUUUUAUUCUCUAAUGACUCUACCUAUUGACUAUUGACUCCCCUUUUUAUUCUCUAAUGUGUUAUAUUUCACUAAAUCUUUGUUCAUCUUGCCAGUUUUUCUUCUAAUUUCCCUGCAGCUAUAAUUUUGGCUGAUGCUAUAGUUUGAAUGUUUGACCCUCCAAACCUCGUGUUGAAAUUUAGUCCCCAUUGUUGGAGGUGGGGCUUGGUGGAAGGUGUUUGGAUCAUGGAGAUGGAUCAUUCAUGAAGGGCUUGGUGCUGUCCUCA